GCUUACGGCCAUACCACCUUAGGCACGCCCGAUCUCGUCUGAUCUCGGAAGCUAAGCAGGGUCGGGCCUGGUUAGUACUUGGAUGGGUGACCGCCUGGGAAUACCAGGAGCUGUAAGCA
rnacentral:rRNA from 10 species